CUCAGGAAAGCCCCACUCUGAGGGCUUCCCUAGUACUGCUUUUUAUUUUGUUACCCACAAGUCCAGGCAUUGAAAGAUGUUGUGGGGUAAUGCGGCUGAUUGCUUUAGGAAAACAUGCAAACUGGAAACCCAAGAACUAUGUAUAUGCCUAGAAGGCUUUGAUGGUUGCCAUAAGGUGCCUUUUCAAAUUUCUGGAGUGGAAAGAAGCUCAAGCCUGCAAGAAAGUCUAGUGGAGAAAUCAGCACUGGUGAGGCCACCCCUGGAUUUCUGAUUGAGAUUUGAGCUUCUCAGUCUAAGAGAGAUAUGGAAGACAUGGAAUACUGAAGAUUCUCCAGCAAUCCAGUCCAUGAAGACUGUGAAGGAGAGGUAGCAUCUCGCCUUUGAGUAAAGGCUGAGAGGACUGGAGACAGUUCAGGCUGGAAAGAGAAGGUUCUUCAGGAAAGUUAUUAAUGCAUAUAAAUACUUAAAUGAUGACUGCAAAGAGGACAGAAACAGGCUAUUUAAAAAGCGACAGGACCAGAGGAAAUGGGCGCAAACUGAAAUAUAUGAAGUUUCCUGUGAACUUCAGGAAGUACUCUACUGUGAGCGUGUGCGCUGGUUUUGCAUUGAUUGACAUUUGGUGGGGAGGGGAGCUACCCACAGAAGUGAUCUUCCUAAGAAAAGCUGUGACAAAGCAAAUCAGUGACUAGUUUUGAAUAUUGACUUCUUGUUAAACCACUAGAAAGUUGAACACACCUCUGUUAAUACACAUAUUAAAAACCGGGAAAGCCUGUGAAAAGUUCUCUUUUCUUCCGUCCUGGGAAGAGAUGAAACUUGCAAAACAUUGAAUCCCCUCUGAGUGAGAGAAAAGGACAGAAUGACAACACGUAGAGACACAACAUGAAGACAUCAAGGUCAGUGGAGGAGGAGUCGCAUCCUAGAUGGGAAGAACAUGAGAAGAUGCUUUAGGCUGAAAUUCUUUUGUAAAGCCAUGGUGAUGGACUGUGGUAUAUUAGAAUAUCCCUUUAAGUCAUGAAAGAUAUGGAUGGGGAGAUGGAGAAUAAGUAGAGUGUUCAAAUUGCAGGUAUGAGCAAAAGGUAUUUUGUGUUAAAGUAUAAAUAAAUAAAAUAAUAAAUGUUGAAGUAGCUGUGAUCUCAUGAGAAGCUUGAACAGAGAGAGGAUGAGAUGAAGAUGAAGGCCUGACUCAGUUCCCAAAGACGAAAUUAUCUCAGAGAGACAUGAAGAAAUCCUUUGCUUUUGACCUACUCAUCCUUAAAAUGGUACCCCAUUGCCCAUAAUGCAACUUUUGGGAAGGCUGCAUGAAAUGGGAGGGACUUCAUAAAUGCAGAUUCCUGGGCAGCUGUUAUUUGUGAGAAUUGAAGCCAUAGAACUAUUUUUCUUAUGGAGGAGCUUCCAUGGCAUGGAAAAAGAGACCCCUCUCUAAAAGAACUGAUGAAAGACUAUUUUAGAGGUGAUAAAUUGACCUGGGUUUUAAGCUUAAAGAAAAGAAGCUUGUAUGGGAAAUGUGUUUUGAAGUUUUUAUUCUGAUUCGUAUUCAUUUUUUCUCCCUUUCUAAAGCUUUCUUUAUGCCCCUUAAAGUUUGAGCCUGCUUUGUUUUUUUUCCCAAUCCUGUCUCACAGCAGGAAAAAGGAGUAAAUAAUUCAAGUGAGCACUCAACCCAUUACAGAGUGAGCAAGCACUGGUGCAGAUUGCCCAGAGAAUCUCCUUCCUUGGAGACAGUCCUGGAUCAGCUGUUCCAGGUGGUCCUGCUUUAUCAGAGCAGAUCAAAGCUGCUUAAACAAGGCAGAUUAUAUCCACAGUUCGUUUCCAACAUAAAUCAUUCAUGUUCUUUCCUUCAAUGAUCUCUGGAUAAAACACUUUCCCAUAGCUAUUUUUGCAUAGCUAUAAUAUCUUCUUAAACUCCUGCCAGCAUACCUCCUAGGAAAAGAAAAUGUUCUUAUUGAAAUUGUUAGAACUAUUGCUAGUAUUGUUUAUGCUAAUGCAACAAUAUAUUUAGAUAUAUUAGUAUUAAAAAAAAUCUGCUCUGCUACAUAGUCUGUUCCUCUUUUUACUUGAAGUUAUAGUGUAAAUGCUGUCUUUUAUAAGAAGUUUAUAUGUUCUAAUGAAUAACCCACACCAGGAUGAUUAUACUUGAAAUGAAGCAAAAAAGACAAUGAUACCAGCUGCUGUCAAUGAGGUUUUAUUCUGAAGUAUAUAGUAAUUGUGCUAGGAAUGCACAACAUAGUAAGAAUGUCUAGAAAUGAGAGAGCAAUCUUAUAUAACUGAUUCAUUAAUAUUUUGCUUAGUUUUCACGUAAUUUUAUUAUAAAAACUUGAGAGGGUGUUUUACUCUUUGUGAGUGUCUGGACACAAAUAUAAAGCAUUGAACUAUUUAGUUAGCAGAAAAUGGACACACAAAACCUCAAUGUUUAUGCUUUAUCUACAUUUUACAGAAUUAAAAUAUUUAUCUGCAUGGUUAGACAACUAAUGACACGUUCUUGAAACAUCUCUGAUUUUCCUAAUAUCUUUUUGGCAGCUGAGAAUUGACCUGUAGUUCCUGCCAAAAAGACUGUGACAAAGCAACCCCUGAACAGGGAUGAAGAAUCCUGGCCACCUGUAGUGCUAGUUCUUCAUGUCCAACCUGCUUGAACCUCUGGCACAACAAAGUUAUUUCAGAAAUCUUUACAGAAUCUUUAUAAUUAUCAUGUACUAAUUACAGGAGAGGAACAAACCUAUGAACAGCCUAGGCCAAUCUAUUGUCUAUAAGAAUUUCCAAGUGUCUCCAUGGACAGCACAAAUUAUUUGAAAGACACAAAGUCAUGGAACAGGUUACCAUGGGAAGAAUCUUUUCCUAAUGCUGGCUGAUAAUCAGUUUUGUACCAAGGCAUGAGUCCUUUUGUCUCAGAUAUACAUGUAAACUGAACGAGAGAGCCUUGCCUCCCCUUCACAGUCCAAGGAUUACAGUGUGUGGUUCCUGUCAAGCAAUGACUUUAGUCUCCAAAAGAGUGACUAUAUGACAGUGACACUUCUAUCCCUAGGUUUUCUGCCAUGGAGAGACACAGUCUGUGUUAUCACAAGUUAUACCCCAGACAAAAAUUAACUCCCCAGUUCUUCAAUCAACAGCAAAACCACAAUUACAUAUAUUCAUAAUGCACCUUUUAGCUGACUUUCAUAAGAAUGCCUGAUUAAACCUGAGGUAUCUUGCACCUGGGUGCCCACAGGUUUUCUUCGAAAACCAUACACUGCAGCCGUUAAAAAUAAAUGCCACUUAUUGUUUCCUGAAUCUGUCUUUCUUCAGUCUUUCUUGUUCUUUUUUUAACUGCCUGUAAUCUGUUUGAACAAAAAGAUAGAUGUGAAGCAGCUUAUUAUCUUCUUUCAUGGUCUUUGGAUAGGUAAAAUGGAAAAUGACAUUGUAUUUCUACAUGUCUGAGUUUUAACCUAUCCUGACAGUGAGAAUAUUGCAGUUUGCAAAUGUUCUCAGUCAUAAAAGAGAUAAACAGAUAUUUCUCAUAGUGGAAAGCUGGAUUCAAAAUCAUUCUUUUCUUCUGGCUUUUUUUCUUUGUAUAUUACUGCAUUCUCUGUAUAUGCCCUGCAAGCUCUGUCCCAUGUGUCUAACUGCAAAUUUGGUAACUGACAUCAGCCUCCAACAAUGUAGCUUUCAUUGUUCUCACAUUCUGUUCUCUAAUGCACAUAGUUUUUCUUCUUUGAUAAUAAAACCUUUUUGUACUAUUCAUUAAAUAGCAAUGUCCCACUGAAAACUAAUGCACAGAAUUCUCAUGUAGAAUGAUAUUUCAAAUGAUGACCUCUUCUACACCAUCCAUCUUUCCCUCAAAACUUUUAGCUAGUGAUGUUUUCAUUAUCUUUGUUGACUUUGCUGAUGCUUGCAAAAUGUUAUAAGUUUUGCAUUUCUUUUUAUGUGCUGGCUAUGAAGUUGAUUUUUGCUAUUUGCAAUAACAUGUGAACCUGAAUAUCGUUAGUAUUUUUCCUGCAAUGUGGAGCUCCUAAAGCCUUUCUUUUUAGAAAUAUAUUGCAGUUAUUUGAAGAGUAUUUGAGUGCCAAAACACUGUUGGCCUUCCAUAAGUUUUGGCCUCAGAUAGAUGACUGUCUUAUAUUGAUUAACUCUAGUUAUUCCAGUAGUUACUUCAGACCUGGUCCCUCUGUAUUGCAUUCUUUAAUCUUUCCCCUACAUCUGCU